UUGGAAUCAAAUGCCCCUCUAGGAUUGAGUCUCUUUUACCCAAACCACUUUUGAAUCUUGUCAACUUUGUCUGUAAGAAACAUUUAGACUUAUCUUACUCUUAUCAGUACAGAGGUCUUACUUCUUUGGCAAGCAUAUAUAAAACUGUAGGGGAGAGCAGCCCAAUCCAUCUGUUUUAUGUGCCCUCCCUACUUCACCUGCUUCUCCCCUAACCCUUGACCACCCCAGCUUGAGGACUAGAAAGUGAGGGGAGUGGAGAGUGAUUCACAAGGUGCAAGAAAAGAAAUCCUAAAAACAAAUGAACAAAUGGACUCGGUCCACGGACACCUAGCCAAGACUGUCUCUGAGAAGAAUGACAUGCCUUCAGCAUGAAGUAGCUACAAGAAAAGGACAUGUAAUUAAGGAGGAAAAAAAAAAUCAGAAACUGGAGCCAUUAAAGAGACUGUGAUAUGAGGAAAACAUUGUACAGGAGAUGUGACCGAAGAUCUCAGAUCUGAGAACUGAAAGGGAAUGAAACUAGUUAAAAUUCCACUGCUCAUUCGCUCCACGGGAGAAAUAACAUUCCUGUGCGAUGCCACUUGCCACUUCAUUUUUAGAAACAAUUAAAAGAU
rnacentral:lncRNA from 1 species